AUCAAUCCCAUGGCAGCAUCUUCCCUCCUUAACAAAUUCAAAGGAACGGUGUUGGUUUCAUCGUAGCUCUUCGAUGAGGAUGAUUCCAUCAAAACCCUUAAGAAACCGAUAAUUGCUCUUCUCUUGGUGUCUGGAAGGAUACAGCGGAACAAAUGUUUGAGUUCCCGAACACAGUUAACACAAAGCUGUAUCACAUACAUAGUUAUCGAUACCAUGCGACAACACGUGGUUUCCACUGUAUCAAGGGGGAUAAUAUUUUUUUUUUUGGUUUUAAUUGACGCUUUUGGUGGAACACCAGAGGUGUACAUUCACCGGGACUGGAUAAGUGUUUAUACAAUGAAAAAAUGAGAUGGUCCUCAUCUUCUACGACGUUACGUAAGCUGCACAGGUUGCUCUCCAGGAUUCCUACCCUGUUAUUUUUCCGAUUAGAUUUUGUGUGUCCGUUGCCGAAAAGUUGUGCCGUAUUGAACAACAAGCUUCAACUGCGUGCCUCGCAAAAUAAUCCGCUUUCUCAUUUGGUGCAAAUCCUACAUGUGAAGUCCUCCAGAUAACUUUGGAGGCUUGGAUUGCUUAUCGAUCAAGGGAAACAAAUUUUCAUAUUGUGGAUCAUCAAGUACCGCAUGCACAUUUGCGGAAUCUAAUGACGAGUGAUCAUUCUAAAAACAAACAAUACUCGAACAGGGUCCUUGCCUUGACCGCAGAGGGGAUACCACUUUUUUGAACGGCACCGAAGAGCAACCUUCCACAAUUCUUGCAAAUGCGAAUAGCCAAAGCAUAAAGCUCGGCUGCAGCUUUGGUAUUGAACAUAUUUACUGUUGUUAUUUUCCUUUCAGAUAUAAUACCAACUUUGAUUGUUUCAGAAGGCAUGAAUUUAUCACUGCCAUCCCUCCUAUUAAACCUGAAUACAGACACUGCAUCGAAAUCAUUAUUGCUAUUGUUUAUACUUUCCAUUAUCAUUUCACCAGUAAAUUAUAAUGGAGAUUUUUUGUAAAAAAUACUCCGGUAUUAAGGCUUCCAAGCCAAUGCCAUUUAGGGCGGGAUUAACUGCAAAAUUAUUGGCUGCUAUGUAAUUAUUAAAAGAAAGUCUGAAUGUUUUAUUAGCAAUGUUUUUGGAGAUAAAAUGUUCACUUAUAUUCGCUUUUUUCAAUUUUGCAUAUAAAAAUAAUUCAGAAUUUUUCCUUCUAGCACUGAUUGGUUCUUCGGAUGAUACUAGAACAUAAAAAGGGUCCGGUGAGAUUCGGAUUGAAGUACCAGCAUUUGCAUCACUAAAUUUAUUUUGUUUUUUUCGUUCA